rnacentral:rRNA from 1 species
GACAGAGGUUGCAAGCGUUGUUCGGAAUUACUGGGCGUAAAGGGCGUGUAGGCGGUCGAGUAUGUCUGACGUGAAAGCCCCCGGCUUAACUGGGGAAGUGCAUCAGAAACUGCUCGACUGGAGUGCGAGAGAGGGUGGCGGAAUUCCCAGAGUAGAGGUGAAAUUCGUAGAUACUGGGAGGAACACCAGCGGCGAAGGCGGCCACCUGGAUCGUAACUGACGCUGAGACGCGAAAGCGUGGGGAGCAAACAGG